AGUAUCAUCCUGUGCCGAGAGGUUCGGGAAAUCUUAUGAAUUAUCGUCAUGUCAGGGAUUGGGGUUUGUAAUUAUCCCCCAUGAACGAGGAAUUCCCAGUAAGCACAAGUCAUAAGCUUGUGCUGAUUACGUC
rnacentral:rRNA from 1 species